AGAGUUUGAUCCUGGCUCAGAAUCAACGCUGGCGGCGUGCCUCAGACAUGCAAGUCGAACGCGAAAUCUCCCUUCGGGGAGAAAGUAGAGUGGCGCACGGGUGAGUAACACGUAGGUAAUUUGCCUUCGGGUGGGGAAUAACAGCCGGAAACGGCUGCUAAUACCGCAUAAUGCAGCGGCUCGACAUCGAGACAGUUGUUAAAGCGGGGGAUUCGCAAGAACCUCGCGCCUGAAGAGAAGCCUGCGGCAGAUUAGCUAGUUGGUAGGGUAACGGCCUACCAAGGCGACGAUCUGUAGCCGGCCUGAGAGGGCGGUCGGCCACACUGACACUGACAUACGGGUCAGACUCCUACGGGAGGCAGCAGUCGGGAAUUUUGGGCAAUGGGCGAAAGCCUGACCCAGCAACGCCGCGUGAAGGAUGAAAUCCCUCGGGAUGUAAACUUCGCAAGAAUGGGAAGAAUAAGUAGAAGAUAAUACCUUCUAUGAUGACGGUACCAUUUGUAAGCUCCGGCUAACUCCGUGCCAGCAGCCGCGGUAAUACGGGGGGAGCAAGCGUUGUUCGGAUUUACUGGGCGUAAAGGGCGCGUAGGCGGCCAGCGCAAGUCAGUUGUGAAAUCUCCGGGCUUAACUCGGAACGGUCAACUGAUACUGCGCGGCUAGAGUGCAGAAGGGGCAACUGGAAUUCUCGGUGUAGCGGUGAAAUGCGUAGAUAUCGAGAGGAACACCUGCGGCGAAGGCGGGUUGCUGGGCUGACACUGACGCUGAGGCGCGAAAGCUAGGGGAGCGAACGGGAUUAGAUACCCCGGUAGUCC
rnacentral:rRNA from 1 species